CAACGCAGGGGCGGAGCCGCAUGACUGGCAGUGGUAUCAGCGAUGGCGGCUGCGUCGCGGUCGGUUCUGCAGCGCUGUAUCGUGUCGCCGGCAGGGAGGCAUAGCGCCUCUCUGAUCUUCCUGCAUGGCUCAGGUGAUUCUGGACAAGGAUUAAGAAUGUGGAUCAAGCAGGUUUUAAAUCAAGAUUUAACAUUCCAACACAUAAAAAUUAUUUAUCCAACAGCUCCUCCCAGAUCAUAUACUCCUAUGAAAGGAGGAAUCUCCAAUGUAUGGUUUGACAGAUUUAAAAUAACCAAUGACUGCCCAGAACACCUUGAAUCAAUUGAUGUCAUGUGUCAGAUGCUUACUGAUUUGAUUGAUGAAGAAGUAAAAAGUGGCAUCAAGAAGAACAGGAUAUUAAUAGGAGGAUUCUCUAUGGGAGGAUGCAUGGCAAUGCAUUUAGCAUAUAGAAAUCAUCAAGAUGUGGCAGGAGUAUUUGCUCUUUCUAGUUUUCUGAAUAAAGCAUCUGCUGUUUACCAGGCUCUUCAGAAGAGUAAUGGUGUACUUCCUGAAUUAUUUCAGUGUCAUGGUACUGCAGAUGAGUUAGUUCUUCAUUCUUGGGCAGAAGAGACAAACUCAACGUUAAAAUCUCUAGGAGUGACCACGAAGUUUCAUAGUUUUCCAGAUGUUUACCAUGAGCUAAGCAAAACUGAGUUAGACGUAUUGAAGUUAUGGAUUCUUACAAAGCUUCCAGGAGAAAUGGAAAAACAAAAAUGAAUGAAUCAAGAGUGAUUUGUUAAUGUCAUUAGCUAUUGUUAGUGUUAGUGUAUUUUUUGUGUGGCCCAAGACAAUCUUCCAGUGUGGCCCAGGGAAGCCAAAAAAUUGGACACACUUGAUGUAAACAUUUCAAGAAAAUUCAGACUAUAUGAUCACUCAAGACAGCUGAUUCACCAGCCUUCUGAAGGGAAGACUAAGCAUAUUCCUAUAUUGAAGGGUGAAGAAAAGGUCACAGUAUUUCUACUAUCAUUAAACCUUGUCAAACAAUGAAUCCAAUGGAAAAGACAAUAUGAUGCAGUCUGAAAUGUUGAGGUCCUGGUUCUAAGACACAUGGAAAAAUAUAAAGUUGAUUUCAUAGCAUAUUACACUACAGUUGUAUGUCUGUGUGGUUUUCAUAGCCCAGCUGGGAAAGAGUGGCUACUGGAAGACUUUGAAAUCACGUGUGCCCUUGUACGUUCUCCUGGACCUAAGAAUGGCAAUAAGAAAAGAUAUCCAUGAUGGUGAUGCCACUAAAUAGAAGCAUCUUGGAUCUUACUACUUGGAGUAGAACCACACAAGGAGAAGCCAUCCAACCUACAUAAGACUAUGACGCUACCAUUGAAAUGGAAAAUUUGCUGGAGAAAGUUGAUUAAGUAACAUUUCACGGAAGAGGAGAAUUGUAAUAACCAUUUGAUAGAAGAGAGAUGUCCUUGAACUCAAUCUAUCCUGAAGAUGCUCCUGAGAGGGCAAACAAAUAACAUCUCUCUGGAAGGAUGCCUGCCUUUGUCAAAGCUUUCAAAUCUGUAUGACUUCUGUCUUUCCUUGGCUUCCCUUACUCAAUUAGUCAAGAAUCCUUGUGGAUGUUUAACAUAAAAUGUCACUCACAUCUGCCCUCCUCCUCAACUUUCCAUUCCAUCCUCUCCACAGAUGCCUGAUGCAUUUUCUUCUGACUCAGUCUUCUGUUUUUCAUGGAGAACAGAGCAAGACAGAAGCUCCCGACUGUGGCAUCCAAGAGCAACUUGAGCUGCUCCCUUACUUAUCUCUGGUAAUGAUUUGAAUCCUUUGCUUUUGCCAGACUGACUCAUCUAGUCAUUGCUCCCCAAAUAUUCAUUUCCCCACUAUUUCUUGUGGCCUAAGCACCAAAUUUUGUUCUUUCAAAAUCUACUCUUCCUUCAGGUCUGGCUCAAAUUCUUUGUGAUGACUGUUCUACCAUAUGGCUUAAUAGCUAAGUACACAUGCAUUGACCUCAAGCCUUCCCACAGCUCAGGUUCCUGAGGCACAGACUCUGGAUGGAAAUUAGCACAUAAUAGGUUUAUUAGAAAGUGCUCUUGGAAUUAACAUCUUUGGAGGAAGAAAAGAAACAAUGUUGUCCAGAGAGGGAACUUGAACUGCAAUGAAGUUGCCACAGAGGCUUCAAUGAAUCCUUCUGGGAGUAGAGCUGGGAUGACCUUUCCAGAGUUUUCCAAUUAAGGGAAUUGUAUCUCACCUCAAUCUCUAGUCUGAACCUUGGGUGAGGCAGCUUCUUUCAGCCAAUGGCAAUUCCUGGAGGCACCAGGAGUUAUGAGCAGUCAACACUCUUUCUUUGCUCCUGAGAAAAUUGAGUGCCCUCUUUCGUCCUGAAAGCAGCUCUGGGCAGCACUCCACAGCAUCUACUACAGACUUAGUGAGUUCACCCUGGCUCUCCCACUUACAGAUUGCAGGUUGCGGCAUGGGAUUGCAUCAGCCUAUGGGGAAGAAAAAGAAGAAAAUAGACAAUCUGCACAGAAUAUGUAAAAGGAGAACCAAAGCCCAAAGAGAAAAAUGCUGAGAAGUCUCCAGCAAAGAAAGUACAGUAAACAACAGCAGGGGCCGGGCGCAGUGGCUCACGCCUGUAAUCCCAGCUACUCAGGAGGCUGAGGCGGGGGAAUCGCUUGAACCCAUUAGGCGGAGAUGGCAGUGAGCCGAGAUAGCACCACUGCACACCACCUCGUGACAGAGCUAGACCCCGUCUCAAAAAACAAAAACAAACAAACAAAAAAAUAGCGGGAGGCGGAGGAGUUUUCCAUAAUCGUACACCUUCUACUGAUGUGCUCUCCAUUAGCCAGCCUUGACUUCACCAACAUCACUGCUUCUCCUCCUCAGGCCUGGGUGGAAUGGGGUUAUGGUGGAGAGCUGCAGAAAAGCUUUAGCCACCCCCAGCUGUUAGAGGGUGCAGCACAACUCGCUUUAACUGCUCAUGUAUUCUACUGGCCCAAGCAGUCUGCAAGGCUGAGAGUGAGUUGAAGAACACUGACUAGGCAAAUGAAGACAAGAAGAAUUUGAAAUGGCGAGGCAAUUGAGGUCCUGAAGAAAUGAAGCACAUGAAGAUGGGGGAGCAGCUCAGAACAUCAGGAGGCAGUAAUGGGAUACUGGGUGCUUGGAGGGGAACGAGAGGUAGUGGCAGUGGAUUUCAUCUGAUCAGCAAUUUUAUUAGACUUAGUGUGACAAAUGGACCAAACAAAGAAACUAUUCUGUUGUUGAUGAUCCCUAUAAUCAUUCCCUAGGAAUAGUGUGAUAUAGUUUGACUGUGUCCCCACUGAAAUCUCAUCUUGAACUGUAGUUCCCACAAUUCCCACAUGGGAGGUAAUUGAAUAAUGGGGACAGUUUUCCCCAUACUAUUCUCUUAGUAGUAAAUACGUCUCUUGAGAGCUGAUGGUUUUAUAAGGGGAAACCCCUUUCACUUGGUUCUCAUUCUCUCUUUGCCUGCCACCAUGUAAGAUGUGCCUUUCAUCUUCCACCAUGAUUUUGAGACCUCUCCAGCCACGUGAAACUGAGUCCAUUAAACCUCUUUCCUUUAUAAAUUACCCAGUCUUGGGUAUGUCUUUAUCAGCAGCGUUGAAAAUGGACUAAUAAAUAGGAAAAUUGAUUUUUAAACUAAAAACUGUUCUUUCAAGACGAGAAUAUUUAUCCUAUACUUCUUGCUGUCUGUUAUCUAAAGGUUUGUCUUACACAUGCCAUGUUUUGCCCCAAAUGCCUGUCCUCACUUCUCUAACCCAGACCAACUUGAACUUUUUCUGUAUAUUUCCUUGUUCAACUGAGGAAACAUACCUCUUGUUGGCUUCUUUCUUACAUGAAAACUGAGCUCCUGUUUCUGACAUCUGGGUUGGCGAUACUUCCGGUUUCUCACUCAUGCACAUCUCUCUGAUCCAGUUUUCUUGGCACUUUUUCUUUCUGACUAGGAAAAAUUUCCUAAGCUGUUCUUGCGGUUAUCAUGCCUUCCUAGGUGAUGUACCCUUCGUGAAUGAUUUUCUUUCUACAUGAUAGUAAGCCUUCAGUCUAGACCUGGUUGUUCUACAUUCUGAUCUAAGAUUCAAUAGAAUUCCCUUCUCUUUGUGCCCACCAUUAUCCUACAUACCAGAAGAAUUGUCAUUUUCUUUUCAUUAAUACUGGCCAGUUGUGGAUUUUUUCUUUUGUCUGAUAGAGUCAUCAUUCAGAUCAUAACUGAUAUCUCACACAUUUUCUUUGAUACUUGAUAUGGAAAUAAAUUAUGAUAUACACAUGCUCACAAAUGGAACCACCCUUACCUUGGGGCACAAUAUCUGUAUAAAUAAGCCACAUUAAUAAACCUCAAUCAAAAUUAUAUACAAUAUCUAUAUCAAUAAGCCAGAAACCUCAACCAAAAUUAUAAAAUUACACUUGUACUACUAGUGCUAAUGUCAUCAUUUGCCAACACAAAAAGUACUUUUGUUGCAAGUAUUUUCUUCUUUCCACUAUUCUAAGUUUGAAUACCUGGGAUUGACUAAAAUUGCAAAACUAGUUCAAUGUUUAAUGUUUUUAGUCAUGAAUAAGUGUCUUGUUUUCUAUCCUUAUUGACUUUUUUUCUUGCUAAUAAUGAAUUUAUUUUAUUUCUUAUACCACAGGGGUUUUCAUAAGUAACUUUCAAUCCUUUUUGGAGCAAAGCAGAAGUUAUUUGGUAAAUUUAUUAAUGUAAAUAUUCUUUUAUUCUCUUUUUUUUGUUCCUUCUCCAUUUUUGUAGUUCAACAUUUUUCAAAUUAGUCUUAAUUAUUUGAUCUGACCAUUGCCAUAACCUGUAAUUGGAUAAAAAAGUCUAGGUACUGGUCUCAGUUUGACACUUAGAAGCAGUAACCUCAGAAUGUUCCUUAACUCUACUUAAUGAAAAGAGGACUGUCCUUAUAAUGAGGACAAAGGGACAAAUAAAUAAAAUCAUAAGUACGAAAAGUCUUAACAUGAUACCUGAAUCAUACUGUAUCCUUAAUAAAUGCUCUUUGAUUCAUGAAUUAUAAAAUAUGAUUUUUUCCAUCCUGAUCUAAUAUUUGUCAUACCUUUAGCAAUGACAAUGCAUGCCUUACAGUGUAAGAUUCCUGGGAACCUUCUUUCUGGCUUAAACAUUUCACCAGGGUCCCAACUGUGAUGUCAUUAAUCAAAUAGGUAUGCAAAAAAUUUUAGAUGUGGACAAAUCCUUUCCUUCAUGAGUAAAUGAAG